UAUUUAGGUUUCUGAAAGAAGAUCCAUUUUAUUAAUUAAGAAAUGUAAAUUUUAUUCUGGUUUUGUUAAUUCAUUUUUUGAUUAUUUUAUAUGUAAAUUUUAGUGUGAAAGUAGAAAAUCUUAAUGGUUUUAUUUUAUACGCAGUAUUGAAUAUUAAUUAUUAGAGUCAUCUAGAAUUAGUAAUUUGAUUUAAUAUUGGCUAAAAGCGUGCCAGCUGCCGCGGUUAUACGUGAAAUAUAUGUGAAUUAUUUCGGUAGUGAAGUUAAUUGUUUUGUUUUAAAUGUUAAUUUGUUUUUGAAGGUGAAAUUUAAUUAAUUAAAUAAUUUUAUUAAGUUAAAAUGAGGCUUUGAAGUUCUAAUAUUAAACUAGGAUUAGAUACCCUAUUAUAUAGAAUGUAAAUUUGUUUAAAUCUUGAGUAGUAGUAGUUAAGUUCUUGAAACUCAAAGAAUUUGGCGGUGCUUUAGUCUUGUCAGAGGAAUUUGUCCUAUAAUUGAUAAUACGCAAUUUAGUUUACUUAAUUUUGAAAUUUCAGUUUGUAUACCGCCGUCAUAAGAGUAUCUUUGGAGAGUAUUUUCUUAAUAUUUUAUUUUAAAUUUGAAGUAGGAUGUCAGGUCAAGGUGCAGCUUAUAGUUAAGUUGAGAUGAAUUACAAUAAAAAUAUUUAUUAACGGAUAUUAAUUUGGGAAAGUUAAUUGAAGGUGGAUUUGAAAGUAAUAUUGUUUUAUUAUGAUAAUAUGAUUAUAGCUCUAUAGCAUGUACACAUCGCCCGUCGCUCUCGUUUUAAGAUGAGAUAAGUCGUAACAUAGUAAGUGUACUGGAAAGUGCACUUAGUUAGAU
rnacentral:ncRNA from 1 species